GACAGAGGGUGCAACCGUUGCUCGGAAUUACUGGGCGUAAAGCGCGUGUAGGCGGAUUGGUGUGUCAGAUGUGAAAUCCCUGGGCUCAACCCAGGAACUGCACCUGAAACUACCAGUCUUGAGUGGUGGAGAGGGAAGUGGAAUUCCUGGUGUAGAGGUGAAAUUCGUAGAUAUCAGGAAGAACACCUAUGGCGAAGGCAGCUCUCUGGGACGGUACUGACGCUGAGACGCGAAAGCGUGGGGAGCGAACAGG
rnacentral:rRNA from 1 species